AUUGAACGCUGGCGGAAUGCUUUACACAUGCAAGUCGAACGGCAGCACGGACUUCGGUCUGGUGGCGAGUGGCGAACGGGUGAGUAAUGUAUCGGAACGUGCCCAGUCGUGGGGGAUAACGUAGUGAAAAUUACGCUAAUACCGCAUACGAUCUAUGGAUGAAAGCGGGGGAUCGCAAGAACUCGCGCGAUUGGAGCGGCCGAUAUCAGAUUAGGUAGUUGGUGGGGUAAAGGCCCACCAAGCCAACGAUCUGUAGCUGGUCUGAGAGGACGACCCGCCACACUGGAACUGAGACACGGUCAAGACUCCUACGGGAGGCAGCAGUUGGGAAUUUUGGACAAUGGGCGACAGCCCGUUCCGGCCAUUCCGCGUGCAUGAUGAAGGCCCUCGGGUUGUAAACUGCUUUUGUACAGAACGAAAAGGUUUCUACUAAUACUAGGAGCUCAUGACGGUACUGUAAGAAUAAGCACCGGCUAACUACGUGCCAGCCGCCGCGGUAA
rnacentral:rRNA from 1 species